AUUGAACGCUGGCGGCAGGCUUAACACAUGCAAGUCGAGCGGAGAGAGGUAGCUUGCUACUGAUCUUAGCGGCGGACGGGUGAGUAAUGCUUAGGAAUCUGCCUAUUAGUGGGGGACAACAUUUCGAAAGGAAUGCUAAUACCGCAUACGUCCUACGGGAGAAAGCAGGGGAUCUUCGGACCUUGCGCUAAUAGAUGAGCCUAAGUCGGAUUAGCUAGUUGGUGGGGUAAAGGCCUACCAAGGCGACGAUCUGUAGCGGGUCUGAGAGGAUGAGCCGCCACACUGGAACUGAAACACGGUACAGACUCCUACGGGAGGCAGCAGUGGGGAAUCUUGCGCAAUGGACGAAAGUCUGACGUAGCCACGCCGCGUGAGUGAAGAAGGCCUUCGGGUUGUAAAGCUCUGUCGGAAGGGACAAAAACCCUUAAGGUUAAUAGCCUUAAGGCUUGAUGGUACCUUCAAAGGAAGCACCGGCUAACUUCGUGCCAGCCGCCGCGGUAA
rnacentral:rRNA from 1 species